GCCCAAUUAGCUCAGUCGGUAGAGUAUCUGACUGUUAAUCAGAGUGUCACAGGUUCAAGUCCUGUAUUGGGCGCCA
rnacentral:tRNA from 1 species